rnacentral:tRNA from 1 species
GUUAAGGUGGCAGAGCCAGGUAAAUGCAAAAGACCUAAGACCUUUAUGCCAGAUGUUCAAAUCAUCUCCUUAACC